GUCCAUGCCGUAAACGAUGUCUACUAGCCGUUGGGGCCUUUGAGGUUUUAGUGGCGCAGCUAACGCGAUAAGUAGACCGCCUGGGGGAGUACGGUCGCAAGACUAAAAACUCAAAUGAAUUGACGGGGGCCCGCACAAGCGGUGGAGCAUGUGGUUUAAUUCGAUGCAACGCGAAGAACCUUACCUGGCCUUGACAUAGUAGAAACUUUCCAGAGAUGGAUUGGUGCCUUCGGGAAUCUACAUACAGGUGCUGCAUGGCUGUCGU
rnacentral:rRNA from 1 species